GUGACAACGGUUACUUAUGGUGGAGCCUUUUUUUUUUAAUUUCAUUUUCAUUUCUCAUUCAUACUUUUCUUCAUACUAUAUUCUGUAAUUUCACCAGAAGCCACAACCACAACAACAACGAGAUCUCCGUGUUCCAAAGAGAUGAUUAUCAUGAUAUUAACUCAAAUUUAGCUAAGUAAAUGGGUUUGCUGUUUUUUUUUUUGUUUCUAAGAAGUACCUACUCUUCAACUUCAACACCAUCAUCACCUUUUUCAUAUUAGAUUCUUAGUUUCAGGUAAAAAAACAAGUUUGGUUGGAGUGUGUGUUGCCAUUGCUGGUCUUCUGAUACUCCUCUGUAUAUAGUUUGAUCCUCUGGCCUUUUUUACAUCUCCUAUGGUGGCUGGAAGGUAGACAUGCACGUUGGAGUGGUGGUGAACUGGUGAUUAUGACUCAAACAGUGAAAACAAUACUUUCAUCCUUUCGUGACCACGACAAGAAUUGCCGUCUUUCUCCUUUGUCUCCUAGUCGGCAUGGGAGCCGUCAGUGGCGCCAAAGCCGCACUGGUAGCUUGGCUGUUGCUAUAGCAGCACUUCUCAUGUUUACAACUGCCUGGCUUUCACUUGUCUUCUCUGAUGCAACUACCUGUUGCUUUCGUCGCAUAAAAGACUGGGAAGAUAGACCCCACUUUUUCCCCUGGAACAAGUGCACUUCUCCUCUUCGCCUUUCAGAAGUAACAACACCUCCUGCCCUCCAAUUUGGUACAAUGAAAGAUCAUCUAAGCAAUGGAAGCAGUAUCAUUGAACAAGAAGAAUUGUCAGUUAAACAUAUUGUUUUUGGCAUAGCAGGAUCAUCUCAAUUUUGGAGACGGAGGAAGGAAUAUAUCAGACUAUGGUGGCGUCCCAAUGACAUGCGUGGUUAUGUGUGGUUAGAGGAACAAGUGGUUGAAGAACAUGGAGAUGAUUUAUUGCCCCCUAUCAUGAUUUCUGAAGAUACCUCAUAUUUCCGCUAUACUAAUCCCAUAGGUCACCCUUCUGGCCUUCGGAUUUCUCGCAUUAUCAAAGAAAGCUUUCGCCUUGGUCUCUCAGACGUGCGUUGGUUUGUCCUAUGUGAUGAUGAUACCAUCUUCAAUGUGAAUAACCUAGUCGACGUUCUCAGCAAGUAUAAUUCCUCUGAAAUGAUUUACAUAGGUAGCCCCUCAGAGAGCCAUUCAGCUAAUACCUAUUUUAGUCACUCAAUGGCCUAUGGUGGUGGCGGGAUUGCAAUAAGUAAUUCGCUUGCAAAGGCUCUCUUUGAGAUUCUUGAUGAAUGCAUCGAGAGGUAUCCCCAACUUUAUGGUAGUGAUGAUAGAUUGCAUGCCUGCAUCACUGAACUUGGCGUUCCACUGACCCGGGAGUAUGGUUUUCACCAGUGGGAUAUAAAGGGUAAUGCUCACGGUCUUCUAUCCUCUCACCCAAUAGCACCAUUUGUUUCAAUUCAUCAUGUUGAAGCUGUUAAUCCCUUUUACCCUAGCUUGAGCUCUUUGGAUAGCCUGAAACUUUUCACGAAGGCCAUGAAAGCUGAAUCCAGAAGCUUUUUGCAGCGUUCAAUAUGUUACGACCAUGCCCGGCAUCUAACAUUUUCAGUGUCACUUGGUUACGUCAUUCAAGUCCUACCUAACAUUGUUUUUCCCCGCGAACUGGAGCGCUCUGAACGAACCUACUCUGCUUGGAAUGGUAUUAGUAGAAGGAAUGAAUUUGAUUUUGAUGCUAGGGACCCACACAAAUCCGUGUGUAAAAAGCCCAUUCUCUUCUUCUUGAAUGAUACUCGAAGAGAAGGUAAUGCUUCUUGGGGUUCAUAUGUUCGGAAUAAAGAUAAAGAUGAUUUCAAAAGGAGAUUUUUCUGCUUCCCUCGCUUUCCCCCUCUGCACAACGUGCGAAAGAUCCAGGUAGUGGCGCAGCCUUUGAGCAAAAAUUGGCAUCUGGUGCCGCGUCGUCUCUGUUGCAGGCAAAGCCAAACUGGCAAGGAAAUCCUCCAAAUCUCAGUUGGACAGUGUGGGAAUUGGGAAGGGACCUAUUAGUUAACUCUGUAUAGUGUUACUGAUUGUGUAGGUCGGUUGUGAAAUGGCAUGUUAGGAUUACUCUCGUGUUUUUCUCACAAUUUGGCAUUUUGAGUGAGGAGCUAGUUCGAUGCGGCAUUUUUUUCACCUUGAAUUGAGCUUUCUUGAACUUCUAAUUUCUGUGUGGUCUACCACUUUGUAUACACUUGCAGAUGGUAGAGAAAGGUUUCUAACACCAGAAGAUUUUUACAAGGGAUUGGAAUAGGAUGCGUAUCAACCUAGGUAUAUACUAUAUACUAUAGGGGGAUAACAAGGUUCUGAUAAUACCAUUCUAAUUCAGUGAGAGUAAAUGUGUGCACACUUGCAGCAUGCUUUCUUGAUCUUAUUUCCCUUUUUUGUCACAGAUCGAGCGUCCAUUCAUUUUGUGGAAUUAGUGUUUCCGGGUAGAGUCUCCUGCUCGACUCCCUCAUUCCACUUAAAUUCUUUGGCUGUUCAAGAGAUUAUUGCGGCAAAAAGAGUAAAUGAAUAACUCUUCAAGAUGACAAUAGGGAAAAUUCAAUGUUCAUAAUUGAUUGAUUGUAAUCUUUUGACCAUGGUAAGAAAAAAGGAUCAGAGAAAACUCAUUUAUGACAAAAGAUUGCGGAUUCAAUGAAAGUACAUAUUGUUUUUUGUGAACAA